rnacentral:rRNA from 1 species
UACGUAGGGGGCUAGCGUUGUCCGGAUUUAUUGGGCGUAAAGAGCGUGUAGGCGGCCAGGUAGGUCCGUUGUGAAAACUCGAGGCUCAACCUCGAGACGUCGGCGGAAACCAUCUGGCUAGAGUCCGGAAGAGGAGAGUGGAAUUCCUGGUGUAGCGGUGAAAUGCGCAGAUAUCAGGAAGAACACCGGUGGCGAAGGCGGGUCUCUGGGCCGAUACUGACGCUGAGGAGCGAAAGCGUGGGGAGCGAACAGG